rnacentral:rRNA from 1 species
UACGGGGGGGAGCAAGCGUUGUUCGGAUUUACUGGGCGUAAAGGGCGCGUAGGCGGCCACCGCAAGUCGACUGUGAAAUCUCCGGGCUUAACCCGGAAAGGUCAGCCGAUACUGCGGGGCUAGAGUGCAGAAGGGGCAACUGGAAUUCUCGGUGUAGCGGUGAAAUGCGUAGAUAUCGGGGAGGAACACCAGUGGCGAAGGCGGCGCCUGGGCCAUACUGACGCUGAGGUGCGAAAAGCGUGGGGGAGCAAACAGGG